GACGAACGCUGGCGGCGUGCUUAACACAUGCAAGUCGAACGGUAAGGCCCUUCGGGGUACACGAGUGGCGAACGGGUGAGUAACACGUGGGUGACCUGCCCUGCACUUCGGGAUAAGCCUGGGAAACUGGGUCUAAUACCGGAUAGGACCACUGCCUGCAUGGGUGGUGGUGGAAAGCUUUUGCGGUGUGGGAUGGGCCCGCGGCCUAUCAGCUUGUUGGUGGGGUGAUGGCCUACCAAGGCGACGACGGGUAGCCGGCCUGAGAGGGUGACCGGCAACACUAGGACUGAGAUACGGCCCAGACUCCUACGGGAGGCAGCAGUGGGGAAUAUUGCACAAUGGGCGCAAGCCUGAUGCAGCGACGCCGCGUGAGGGAUGACGGCCUUCGGGUUGUAAACCUCUUUCAGCACCGACGAAGCGCAAGUGACGGUAGGUGCAGAAGAAGGACCGGCCAACUACGUGCCAGCAGCCGCGGUAA
rnacentral:rRNA from 1 species